ACCUGCAACAUAGCUCAGUCGGUAGAGCACAACUCUUAAUCUCAGGGUUGUUGGUUUGAGCCCCACGUUGGGCA